ensembl:lncRNA
UAAACCAGCCCAGCUAAGGAAGACAGUAGCUGCUUGACAUUUUGGAAAGGGUCCUCAUGGCUAUCUAGUUAGGGACACUGAGCAUCUUUCCCCAGCAGGUAAUGCAGAGUCUCAGCGAUUGUUGCAUUUUGUGGAGGAGAAGCCUGAGAAAAUUCCAGACGCUGCAGAAGGCUUGAAGUACUUGCCUUGAUUUUGAGCUUGACCCAGUGUUCUUUCUGCUACAUCAGAUCACCUGGCAGGAUAGCUUCUCAAUGUGGAGGAAAAUGACACAUGGCUUCUCUUUGCGGAAGGGACUGUAAAAGUGGAAAAAGAUGAGGAAACUGAGACCUAUAGGAGGUACAAGAUUUACCCAAUAUCACAAGACAGGUAAGAGGUCCAACCAAUAUUUUAUCCAUUCAUAUAUCAGUUAAAUAUUCAUUCAUUUGACAGACAUUGAUAGAACACCUGCUAUUGUGUCAUAUGCUAUAAGGCCUUUGUGAGGCCUAAACAGUAUUCCUGCUCAUGUGACAUUUAUAAAUCAGUGGGCAGUACAACCUUGUUGGAGCUGUUACAGAAAAGUUCCUUGGUUCUAUAAGAUCUCAGAGAAAAGGCGCUUACCCAGUCUGGGGUCUGAAAAUGCUUCCCGGAGGGGGUAAUGUCAAAGCUCAAUCUUACAGGAAGAGUGAAAGUUUGGGAGAAGGGUUAAGGGAGCAGCCACAUAAAGGUCUAGAGGUGAGAGGGAGCAGCAUAUGCUCUGGGAACUGCCAAUAAUUGGCCACGGUGCUUGUUGGGAGAGAUGGGGCUGGAUCUGUAGGUGGGAACCAGCUCAUAAUGAGUUUGUAUGGCCUGCCAAGAUCUUUGGAUUUGAUCCUGAAAGCAAUGGGAGAUUGUGGGUGCAUUUUAGGCAGGAGAUUUGCAUCAUCCUCUUUGGAUUUUAGAAGGAGCCACUGAUGUCAUGGAGGGGACUGGACUGGGGAGAUUGAAGUCAAGGAGAUCAGUUGGGAGAAUAUUCAGAUGAGAGGUGUGGGGGCUCCCACUGAGGCUGGAUAGUUGGGAUGGAGGGGAAGGUAUGGAUUUAAGGAAUAACUGGAAGGCAAGGCAGAGAGCAGACACAACUCUGUGAAGUUUGCCUAGAGGACAGGGCAAUGUGAUGCCAUCACUGAGUCUGGAAAUCCAUGAGGAGAAGUGCUAAUGAGCUCUAUGUGGACCUCUGUCAUGGACUUGUUUGAGCUGCCCUUGGGACUAAGUGGGUGGUUGGGUGCAGAGAGGUGAGAGGUUUUUGUGGAGGUAAAGAUUCAGAGUCAUCAGGGUGGGGGUGACGUUCAAGGCCUGAGGGAAGGUGAGAACCGACCUGGAAGCGAGCAGAGCAGGGUUGGUAACCUACUGGCAGUCAUGGACCCCUGCAUGGAUCUUAAGAAACCCAUGAACCCCCAAUUCAGAAAUCUACAGAGAGAAGAGUUUAACUAGUUUACAUACUUUUCUUGGAGUCUGUGGGUGCUCUGAAGCUCAUCCUUGGCGUAGGGUGAGAAAUGAAGUCUAAGUUGGCCUUUGGGGGACACCAGUAUUUCAGGGGCAGGUGGAGGGGAAGCCUUAAAGGAAACUGAGAAGGAACUGCUCGGGGUGAGGGUAUCGGAGCAGAAUGAAAACACUGAGAGAAUGAUGUUCUGGAAAGAGGGAAAACAGUUUCAUGAGGACAAAGGUGAUCGACAGUGUCAAAGGGUCGACGUGAAGGUUAAGGUUAGGUCAGCGUCACCUGAAGCUGCAGCUCAACAGGCUGAGCGCCAAGAAUCCUGGAAAGACCCAGGCUUCUGAUUCACAGGCCAGCACCCUCCCUGCACCCUCUUCUAUUUCGUGACUCUCAUUUAGAAUCUCAGGGGAGCGCAUUCAUCCACCACAAAGAGCCACUCCUAGUUUAUUACAGGGCUCGCUUUGAGCACAUUUGGUGCGUGAGAAUAGGAAAUUGCAAAUAGGUUCUGGGCUGAGGCUGUGUGGUGAUUAUUGCCCUCAAUUCUUACCCCUGCGUAUACCCAGGCCCUUUGCUAGGAGGCUUGGUAAUCCCUUCCACAGAAGAGUGAGUAUAUUUCCCUGCUCCUUGCCUUUGGCUCAGCCAUAUGACCUGCUUUGGCCAGGUGGACAUUAGCAGACCUGAUGCAAGAAGGAGCUUGGAAUGCCUUGUGGAGUUGGUCUUGCCCUCUCGAGCUUAUGUCGUUGCCUUGAGAAAAGCCUGGCUGGGUAGCUCACCGCUCCCAGGAGGCGGAUGAGAGGCAUGUGGAGCAGAGCCGUCCCUAGCCGACCCUCUGAAGACGAAGAUGUGCUCGGUGUUGUACGUCACUGAGACCUUGAGGCUCCUGGUUUCAGGGCCAUCAGUGAGUUCUACAGCCUGCCUUCAACACAGCCCUCCUGGCUCCCCGAAAGCUUUCCCCUUCUCAGGGUCCCCCUUCCUGCCUCCCUGCUGGGGCGUUGCUUCCCUGCCGUAGACUCGCUCCCCCUGCUCCCAGGACCUGAUCUGGGGCAGGAGGGGCUGCACAGCUCCAGCCCACCCCCGUUGCCAGUCUGCUUAUUUCAGACGAGCCCUGCAUGAUCUGCAUGCCUUCACGUCUGCUGUUUCUUACUCCGACCUGAGGCCCGUCCCAGUCAGAUGCCCUUCAGUUCUAACUGGGGUGAAUUAAAGAAUUCAUUCAACACAUUUUAUUGCAGUCCUACUGUAUACCAGUCCAUUAAAAGAAAACUCUCCUUUUUUUUUUUUUUUUAAAGCAAAUAGUUGUUUGUUUUCACGUAAAACACA